rnacentral:rRNA from 1 species
GAUGAACGCUAGCUACAGGCUUAACACAUGCAAGUCGAGGGGUCUUUUGGAGCUUGCUUUAAAAGACGACCGGCGCACGGGUGAGUAACGCGUAUCCAACCUGCCCUUCAUAUUGGGAUAGCCUUCCGAAAGGAAGAUUAAUACCGAAUAACAUGAUAGAGUUGCCUGAUCUUAUCAUGAAAGCUCCGGCGAUGAAGGAUGGGGAUGCGUUCCAUUAGGUAGUAGGCGGGGUAACGGCCCACCUAGCCGACGAUGGAUAGGGGUUCUGAGAGGAGGGUCCCCCCCACUGGAACUGAGACACGGUCCAGACUCCUACGGGAGGCAGCAGUGAGGAAUAUUGGUCAAUGGGCGCAAGCCUGAACCAGCCAAGUAGCGUGAAGGAUGACUGCCCUAUGGGUUGUAAACUUCUUUUAUACGGGAACAAACCCCGGUACGUGUACCGGAUUGCGUGUACCGUAUGAAUAAGCAUCGGCUAACUCCGUGCCAGCCGCCGCCGUAAAAC